rnacentral:rRNA from 1 species
UACGUAGGGUGCAAGCGUUAAUCGGAAUUACUGGGCGUAAAGCGUGCGCAGGCGGUUUUGUAAGUCUGACGUGAAAUCCCCGGGCUCAACCUGGGAAUGGCAUUGGUGACUGCACGGCUAGAGUGUGUCAGAGGGGGGUAGAAUUCCACGUGUAGCAGUGAAAUGCGUAGAGAUGUGGAGGAAUACCGAUGGCGAAGGCAGCCCCCUGGGAUAACACUGACGCUCAUGCACGAAAGCGUGGGGAGCAAAC